UACGUAGGCAGCGAGCGUUGUUCGGAGUUACUGGGCGUAAAGCGUGCGUAGGCGGUUUUGCAAGUCUGGUGUGAAAUCUCCCGGCUCAACUGGGAGGGUGCGCCGGAAACUGCAAGGCUGGAGUAUGGGAGAGGUAGGCGGAAUUCCUGGUGUAGCGGUGAAAUGCGUAGAUAUCAGGAGGAACACCUGUGGUGUAGACGGCUUACUGGACCAUGACUGACGCUGAUGUACGAAAGCGUGGGGAGCAAACAGGAUUAGAAACCCCAGUAGUCC
rnacentral:rRNA from 1 species